AAGUAAUAACGAGAUACGGAUAUCGUUAUUACGGAUAGACCAUCACGUGUGGCAUUUCUUACUUGUGAAGUAAGUAGCUGAUCUCACAAGUUAAAGUGUGGUGACACUUAAAUGAAUACGUGGAUGUUUUGUUAUAGAACAAAACAUUGGAGACCCGUCGAGAGAUUCCACAUGAAUAACUAUCUGAGUGUCAGUGGUUAAUCUCUAACGUUCG
rnacentral:lncRNA from 1 species